UCGCCCCUAAAAUCCCGCCCCCAUUUCUUUUUGCUUUUCUUUUGCACUUUUAUUUGUGAAACGACGCCGUUUCUCCCUCACCUUCCAAUCACCAUCGCCUGUUCAUUUUCCUUUCCAUAUAUGUUUUCAACUUUAAAUCUUCCUGCUUAACCUGCUUCGUUUUUAUUUUAUUUUCCAUUUUCUUUUGUUCUUCUCUUUUUUUUUUCCCACAAUUGUUGACUGCUGGCCGCCAGUUCCUCCGACGACUCCGCAUCCCUCUCUCUCAAAAGCUCAUGUGCAGCCGCCGACAGCGCGAGGCAAUCGAUGGAUGCUCUCCAGUAUUAUCCCAGACACGAGCAACAGUAGUAAAUCAAUGGGUCCUCACUCUCCAACGAAAUUCUCCCUCUCAAUUCAAGACCGUCGCCCCUUUACAGGGUGAUUCGCUCCUUCCGAACCCAAUCGGAAUCUCAAACUCUGGCCUCGCCCGCCAGAUGAAGCGUCUGCGGCAUCGACGCCGUGCUCUACCGGGUGCCCCAAACCCUUCCCGAUGAAGUCCUCGCCAAAAUGCUGGCCCCACAGAAGGACGAUUCGAUUCCCGUAAUCGGUUCUCCGGAGGAUUUGACAGGCGCCGAUGGGUUUCUCUUCGGGUUUCUGACGAGGUACGGGUCCAUGGCUGCGCAAAUGAAGUCUUUCUUUGAUUCGUCUGUGCAGCUAUGGAAGGAGCAAAAACUCGCCCAGAAAACAAGCCGGAUUUUUCGUCAGCACCGGCACUCAAGGCGGCGACCAAUAGACCACUGCGUGAACUGCAAUUACUCAACUAGCAGAUACAUAAUGCUUUUUGUUCUGAUUGGAUAUACAUUUGGAGCAUGUAUGUUUAAAAUGGAUUCGAUAAGAGGUGGCUCUCCGUACGGUGAUGAAGUUUAUGCAGGUGAUGGAACAAGGGAACGGUAAUAAGAGGAAAAGGAAGGUGUUGGAUAAUGAUAGCCAGUCUCUCUGCAGCUUGCUUUUGAUGUUGUCAAGGAUAUUACCGGUAUUGAACAUCUCUCAUUAUCCAUUAUCAAGAAUUACUAUUACGUGUAAUAAUUCUCGAUUGUUUUAAUCUGUGGAGCCGUUUUUGACGGAAUUGUUAUAGCUGAUGUUCCUUUUAGGAGGGCAGAAUCGAAGUAUAGUGUUAAACAAGUAGGUGUAACCGUUGAGUUUUAUGGCGGCGAACUCAAUGUAGGCAGUUACGGGAAAUCGAAAUAAAAAAUGUGACAAUGUGGAUUCUGCUAAAAAGGUUUUAUUACCGAAUAGUGGGAAAAAAUCUCAAAAUGCAUAAACAAAUGGAACUCCGAGUGGAUGUCCAAAGAUUUCACCGAUUAUUAGUGAGGAUAGUAAUGCAAGAAAGGAAUAUGAUGACGUGGAAAUCUUGUCCGAUAAUCAAACUGGGAUUGCUGUAAAAGAGAAUUGACUUGUUCAAUUUGAGGCGACGAAUAAUACGGAAGUGAAAAACGUGCAGAAUUCGGAGGAUUUCCAGAAUGGCUUGGCAAUUCUUUAUCGGAAAAGGCAACAACUGGUGGUGAAGUUGGUUUAGCUCGUAAAUUUAUUGAAUCAAUCCUAACUGUGAAGAGUCAUUUGCUGCUCAAGAAUGAAAAUCACGACAACCGUAAAUCCACAAAGCAAACAAAAUCACCUGACAUUUUUCUCCCGGGACUUGGAGUAUAUGUGUGUGAAGAAUAAUUGGAGGCUGCCGAAAUAUUCUGUCGCGCCAUCAAAUGGCUGCAUUUUUUUAUUUUUUUUUACGAUUAGGUAAAUUUGUGUCGAGUGUGGCGAUGGAAAGUGAUGAUUUGAAGUUGUCUACGGAGGGUGGUGUGGGGUCCACUCCCUCAGAAACAAGGGAAUUUGUUGUUGCACAAAUAAUUGUCAAAAUACAAACUCAUUUAUGUGUUAAGGAAAACUGAUUAAUCAGGAGUUAAUUUUCUGCCUUCCGUUAAAGGCUACCUGAAUGACGGAGCUGCGAUGCGAAAUAGGCAAUGGCGGAAAUGCGUGGCCUCCAAACUGACAGGGUGAAAGGAAAGGCGCCCGAGAGCUGAUUAAAGGGUUUUUUUUUUUUUUUUUUUU